rnacentral:rRNA from 1 species
AUUGAACGCUGGCGGCAUGCUUUACACAUGCAAGUCGAACGGUAACAGGCCUUCGGGUGCUGACGAGUGGCGAACGGGUGAGUAAUGCAUCGGAACGUGCCCAGAGGUGGGGGAUAACGCAGCGAAAGCUGUGCUAAUACCGCAUGUGAUCUGAGGAUGAAAGCGGGGGACCAGGCAGCAAUGUUUGGCCUCGCGCCUUUGGAGCGGCCGAUGUCAGAUUAGGUAGUUGGUGGGGUAAAGGCCUACCAAGCCGACGAUCUGUAGCUGGUCUGAGAGGACGACCAGCCACACUGGGACUGAGACACGGCCCAGACUCCUACGGGAGGCAGCAGUGGGGAAUUUUGGACAAUGGGCGCAAGCCUGAUCCAGCAAUGCCGCGUGCGGGAAGAAGGCCUUCGGGUUGUAAACCGCUUUUGUACGGAACGAAAAGGCUCUGGCUAAUACCUGGGGCUGAGGACGGUACCGUAAGAAUAAGCACCGGCUAACUACGU